GGGUCAGUAGGUUGGUCGUGCCACCGGUACGUACUGGUCUCACUGAUUCCUCCUUCCUGAAGAACCGUAAUGCCAUUAAUUUGGUGUUGCGGGGAAAAAGGACUGUUACUUUGAAAAAAUUAGAGUGUUUAAAGCAAGCUAACGCUUGAAUACAUUAGCAUGGAAUAAUGAAAUAGGACGAUCGAUCCUAUUUUGUUGGUUUCUAGGAUUGACGUA
rnacentral:rRNA from 1 species